GACGAACGCUGGCGGCGUGCCUAAUACAUGCAAGUAGAACGCUGAAGGAGGAGCUUGCUCUUCUGGAUGAGUUGCGAACGGGUGAGUAACGCGUAAGUAACCUGCCUGGUAGCGGGGGAUAACUAUUGGAAACGAUAGCUAAUACCGCAUAACAGUAGAUGUUGCAUGACAUUUGCUUAAAAGGUGCAAUUGCACCACUACCAGAUGGACCUGCGUUGUAUUAGCUAGUUGGUGGGGUAACGGCUCACCAAGGCGACGAUACAUAGCCGACCUGAGAGGGUGAUCGGCCACACUGGGACUGAGACACGGCCCAGACUCCUACGGGAGGCAGCAGUAGGGAAUCUUCGGCAAUGGACGGAAGUCUGACCGAGCAACGCCGCGUGAGUGAAGAAGGUUUUCGGAUCGUAAAGCUCUGUUGUAAGAGAAGAACGAGUGUGAGAGUGGAAAGUUCACACUGUGACGGUAUCUUACCAGAAAGGGACGGCUAACUACGUG
rnacentral:rRNA from 1 species